UUUUUCCAUCAAGGUAUGUACAUUGUAUUUUUUAGACAUAAUGCUAUUACACAUUUAGGCUACAAUAUAGUGCAAACAAACUCUUAAUAGGCACUGGAGAACCGAAAUAUUCAUUUGACUUGCUUUAUUGCAAUAUUCCCUUUAUUGCCGUGCUCUGGAACCAAACCUACCAUAUCUCUGAGGUAUGUCUGUGUGCCACGAUACAUGUGCCCAUUUAUUUGUUUAACUUACGUUUCCCCCUAGAAGACAGAAAGUCUUGCGUAUAAAACAUUAGUCUAGUCCCUAGAUCUAAAGCACUGAACCAGCAUUUAAAGUAUGUCCCUGCUUGUCUAAGGUUUAAUUUUUGGUGGAGGGACGCUGAAAAUAAACACAUGAAUGAGCACGUCGGCCACAUCGUGUAUCACAUCCUUCCAUGGUCUAUCAUCUCAUAAAUCACUUAAUGAGAAAAGCAAUGCAGAAAAACAGAAGAGGUAAGGGAAUAAAGAACAAUAUGGGAGAGGUAAGGUCUCUUGUUUUAAGCAGAAUGCUGAGGGAGGAGUUCACUGCUGAUGCCUGAACAGACACGAAUGAAGUGAAGGAGCGAGCCAUGCAGGAAUCUGGAGGGAGUGAAGUCUUGGCAAGAAGCAUCGGUUAAGAAAAUCACCGAAGACCCUUCGUUGGAUUGGAAACGUGGAGGUCAUUGGCUUUGACCAGGACGGUUUUAGUGGAGUUGCUGGGAUAGAAGCCUGCUUGGAAUGUGAUCAAGAGAUGACCAGAGCCGGAAAGUCUGCUUAACUCUUUGAAGACGAUGAGAGAAAUUACGGUGUUUGCUUACUGAUGGAAACGAUCUGGCAUAGAAGGCAUCGAUAAGAAGCUACCGCAGAGCAAAUCUUUGAGCAGGUGGAAGGAAAUUGAAUGGAGCGCAGAAUAGAACAUAGACAGUUGCAGAAUCGGAGUGGAAGAACAUGCCCUGUUGCCGUUGCCAUCACCCUUCUUCCACAAAAGGCUAAAGAUUUGCGAGGACUGUAGAUUGACUGAAAAGGACUUCGACUCUCCAUUGAAUGCUUGCGCUCAGAUGACCUACCUGAGGGCUUGUGUCCUGCUUUCUUCAAUGAGGUGAAUGGGAGGACACAAUAAAUUAUAUUCAAAUGGCAGUCAUGGAGGAAACUUCCCUUUCCUUCCUCAUCCACCAAGCUGAUCGAUGGGCGCUAAAGCCCCGGGGAAGCAGCAUCUGUUGUAACUCAAGGAUCCCUGCUCGAGCUGAGUAUGAAAUUAACAGACACAGAGCAGUUAGCAGCUCAACAUUUGUUCAAGUCUGGCACAUGCACACAUCAUUAGCAACUAUAUUUGAGGAGCAAGAUCAAGGAGGUGAGGAAGAGGGUGUAUCUGAUUAAAGGGAUAUUCAGGAAAGAGGAAAUUCAGAGCAUUUAGGUAAAGCUUCAUGGCUAAAAUAAAUGAACCGGAGAGCAGAGCAAACAGCCAGGGACAUGGGAUAAUUUUGCCUGUGCAACUUCCCAAACAAAGUCAUUUCACGCAGUGGAUCCCCCAGAGUGGCUGGCUGCCUCUUUUACUUCAGCUCCAUGGGCUGUCUCUCCAUUAAAAUUCGAGGGCAAAGAUUUUGCUGUCCUGUUCACUGCUGUAAUCUGGGCUCUUAGUAGAUAAAAUUAAAUAUUCAUGGAAUAAGUUAACGUAUACUUGCUCAAAGCCUGCCUUGACCUGAGCUAGGCAAAUAAAGCCUGAGAUGUUCGGCAGGAAUCCAAGGCAACGUGCGUGCCGGAAGAAUGGCAUCUUCCAACCAAAACUUGAGUGUUAAUUAAAGUGUACAGAAUUAGCGGGGAAAUAUUAUGGGACUGCCUCUCACGUGCCCCACAUUACUCUAGGCCCCGGAGGAGAUACAGUCGAAGCACAAUCACAAAGAACAGUGAAUAUUUGCUGAGGGCUUGCUAUCGGCCAGGCAUAUGCUAAACUCAUUCCUCCCAUUAGCGUGCCCAAUUCUCCCAGUACCACCUACGGGGCAGGUGGGUAGCAGGCGAUCAUCUCCAGCGGGUAUUCAAGGCAACUGGUGCCAGGUCAAUUUCAUAAUGCGCCCAGGGUCCUACAGAGAGUAAGCGGGGGAGCUGGGAGUCCCUUUGCUGUGCUCUCCACCUCCAUCCCCUGUGGCCCUUUAGGAACCUGCCCCUAAUCUGAGGACACGAAAGGGGCACCGGUGAACAACGAAGCCUUAGCCUCGGUGGCCCUGGCAACCGAAAGCGGGCGAGUCAGUGUAGACUUUGACACAGAGCUCCCGGAAGGAGGCUGUACUUGGAUCCGUCUUGAAUUUCAUCAUGGGUUUGUUUGUAUGCCCGUCUCUCCGUUCUCUAUCUACUCCUCCGCUCAUCCUCCCUCCCACCCACCCAACAAACAUGUCCUGGGUUCCACUGUGCACCAGACGCCGAGCGCCGAAGUGGAAUUUGUGCUGAGGUAGUCGUAUGGGAGCCGCGUGUGCUCCUUGGCACGAGAGGGCCAAGAUUAACCCCCCCACACACACACACCUGCCAGCAGAGGGGCUUCCCCAGCACGGGCGGUUUGGUGCUGUAAACACUGGGAAUGCUCAUACCCUUGACCCAGCAAUCUGACCUGCUGGAGUUGGCCCAGAGGGAAAUGAUCUGUGCCAAAGUCACUGCCUAUAGCGCUGUUUGUAAGGAGCACGUAUUGGAAAUAGCCACGUGUUCUUCCAGAGGGAACUGCUGAAAAAACAAAAUGAAAAACUCCACAGUACCCCCAAAGAGAUUACUAAGCAGCUGUGAAAAGGAGUGAAGAGGUGUAAUGAAGUGAUCUUUAAGACAUUUGAGUGAAAAACGCAAGGAACAUACGAACGGUAGGCUACCGCUUGGGUCAAAGGUGGGAAAUAGGAACAUGCUGGGUAGGCUAUCUAGAAAAUACCGCUGGAAGGAUGCACCAGGCACUGAUGAUGGUCUGUGGGUUUCAGUGGAAGGCACAGGGACUUGAAUGGCAAGAGGAGCAGGAGGGAUGUUUGAUGAAAUACCCUUUUGUAUGUUUUGAAUUUUGAAACUUGCACGUGGGUUAUCUAUAUUCCCCUCUAAAAAGUAAACAAAAAAUCAUGGGCAAAGACCAAGUUACCAGUGGUUUAUCUAUGAGUGACGGAGUUUUAAUUUUGGUCCUCCACAUCUCUCAAGGCGCUCAAGAGGGGAAUCCUGUGUGCCAGGAUGGGUCGGCAAUCUGGAACCCUCCCUGCCUGACUCACGCCUGAAGUGCUGUGACAUUCGGUUUCUGUCCUUGGCUGGACCGGGUACCUUUCCCAGGGUUCUCUUCCUUAGCAAGGGAGCUUAUCCCCAGACCUGGUGUUUGCGGUUUGGCAGAGGGUGGUCAGGGUGGGCUUCACGGAGAAGGUGACAUCCGCGCAGAGCUUGAAGUAGGUGAAGGAAUGGUUCCCCUAAGGGCAUUCAGGGGAAGGGAAUUCCAGGAAUACAGAAGAGCAAAUUCAAAGAAUGUGAAGUCAUAGGGUGUUGGGCUGGGCAGCAGACCUUCCAAGAAUGGAGUAUGCAAAAUGCAGAGAAGACACGAGACAAAGGCAUAGUCCACAGUUGGUGUGUGGGUGAGGAAGGUGGGGAUCGUAGACAGCCUUCUACCCCUUUCCUGGAGAUUCCACAUCCAGACAUCUGCCCAUUUCUUGACUCUGAUCUCAUGUUCCAGGUCUACUAACUGGCCUGCUCCUGGGUCCCUGAGGCCCGGUCCAUUGCUGUUGGCAUCCCGGCCUUAAGCCCUGUUUCUGUAACCAUCUCUGUGAUCUGGUCUCUCCUGGCUGCCACCAAGGAAUGGGGACCUGAAUUCCAUUCUGGGAUGGAGACUGCUGCCAGUUCAGUCCCUGUGGGGACCACGGGCAUUGUGAGGAGGGGAGACAGGAGUAGGGAAUCCGUCUUUCAAUCCCGGCUCUCACCGGUCUUCCUGCUACUUCAAAAACGGCACACCUUUCCUUCAGGUGCUUUUGAGCUCCCGAGUCCUCAUCCUCAAACACUCCUCCCCUACUUUGUGUGACAAACUUGCUCUCUUGUUUCACUCAGAAAAUGAGUGGUCCUCAAAUGUCCUCCUUGGAGAAGCAUUCCCUGACCUCCUGAUGGAAGAUGGCUGCCUCUGCCCCUCUAUUCCUUUACCCAGUUGAACGCCUUCACCCCGUAUAUGGACGUGUUUAGUCUCUGUCUCUCCUCUCUUAAAUACAAGCUUGAGGAUAGUAAGAACUUUAUCCAGAAUCCCAACACUGGCAGAUGGUUGGGCCUCCUGGAACUUGCCUCGGUGAAUGGGUCUGGUUCCAGAUUCUGGUCCCUCCAAGUCAACUGUGUCCCACUAGAGAACCAGACUCUGCCUGUCGGGGGGAUGGAGAUUCCUAGGAGUUAGGAGAUGUGUGGAUGAAUAGAAUGGCAUUAUGGGCAGGCACUCCAGGAAUACCGUUCCCCAUCCUGAAGCAGAGGGUUGCAGAGGCAAAGGCAGCAUUUGCCAACAUUAUACAUGAAAAAAAAAAAAAAUACAGGGACCUUUUACCUUCUCAGAAUCAUGCUUCUCUUGGUCUUAUCAGCUUUAAGGUGAGUGUAAAGUGCUCAUAAUUUUAAGG